CCCCCAAGAAUGCUUCCUCUAAAUCUUUCAUAAGUAUACCUAAGUACUUUUCAAAAGGAUGGGAGAUCUUACUUGAUCUAUAAGGUGGAGGAGGUACCACAUCAAUUGACUCACUAAUGGGUUUAGAUUUCUGGACUCGAUACUUUUUAGAGACCUUCUCUUCGAGCUCAAUCUUCCUCCCACUGCCUUCAUCUUGGAUAAACUCCUUUUCCAAGAAGAUGACAUGAUAGCUCAC
rnacentral:lncRNA from 1 species